rnacentral:rRNA from 1 species
GAUGAACGCUGGCGGCGUGCCUAAUACAUGCAAGUCGAGCGAACGGACGAGAUGCUUGCUUCACUGUUGUUAGCGGCGGACGGGUGAGUAACACGUGGAUAACCUACCUAUAAGACUGGGAUAACUUCGGGAAACCGGUGCUAAUACCGGAUAAUAUUUUGAACCGUAUGGUUCAAAAGUGAAAGACGGUAUUGCUGUCACUUAUAGAUGGAUCCGCGCUGCAUUAGCUAGUUGGUAAGGUAACGGCUUACCAAGGCAACGAUGCAUAGCCGACCUGAGAGGGUGAUCGGCCACUCGGGAACUGGACCACGGUCCAGACUCCUACGGGAGGCAGCAGUAGGGAAUCUUCCGCAAUGGGCGAAAGCCUGACGGAGCAACGCCGCGUGAGUGAUGAAGGUCUUCGGAUCGUAAAACUCUGUUAUUAGGGAAGAACAUAUGUGUAAGUAACUGUGCACAUCUUGACGGUACCUAAUCAGAAAGCCACGGCUAACUACGUG